UCCCUAGGUUCAGUCCUCAUUAUAUAUAAAAAAAAAAAAAUUGAAAUGCCUCUAUGUUUUUGCCUAACAUAUUGAUUGUGCUCUUGCUUUCCCCUCUGCAAAAAAAAAAAAAAAAAUGUCCUUCCUUUUUCCAGCCUGGCAAAUCCUUCCUAUCCUUCAUCAUCUCUGAGGGGUCACCUAUUUCAUACCUGCCAAGCACAGUAGCCACUAGGAAUGUGACAUAGACUCUGGGACAGACUCUGCAGCCUCCCAACCUUCCCUCAGGAGUGAGCAAGCCAUGUGUCAUUUUUUCCUUUAAUGCGCUCAUGAAAUGAGUAACUUGCUUGUGUUUGGGCCUCUAUUUUAACCCUCAGAACACCUUGAGAUUUUCUAGACUGUGAAAUUACUGUUGGGUGCUUUCCCACUCUGCCCCUGCUCUCUUCAGGAUUUGCCCAGGACCUGAAAACCACGGCUCAGAAGAUGACAGUAUCUUUCCCAUGAGAGGGAGGUGGAGCGGAUGACCUCUCCAUCUGGGUGACCGUGUCUUCUAAAUCUGAAAUUGGGGCACUUGGUUUGACGAAUCUAAGAUAGCAGUUGCUAUACCCCUAAGGGGCUUUGGCAACUCCCUUCUGCCAUUCUGGGGCUGCAGUUAGUCCAAACAGCAACCUUGGAUAAAAUAGGAAAAAGUGUCCAGUGUGGCCCCCGGGUGCCCAGUCUGGCUGCCAAAGGACACGUUUCCAUGCCAGCUUAGCCCUUCCCCAUGGGCCAGGACUAGAAGCAAUGGCCCAGCCUAAACAAUAGCUAGAUGCUGCCACCACUCUUCCUUCCCUCUGCCCUCCCCUCCCCUCUGGGCCACAGGGGUGGUCACACUCACAUGGCUCCCACAUCUCUUUUUUUAAUAGGUCAGUCUGUCUGCUUUCAAACAACUGCACUCUGACUCAACAACUUCCUCUUUGCAAAUUUCCUCUUGGCUCUGGGGAAACAGCACAACCACCUUUGGCCCCUUUGGGCUGGGGCAGGGGCGGCUCUCAGGGGCAGCACAGCUGUGAGGUGCGCCCCGGCCCAGGUGACAGAUGUGGCACUGGGUAACAAUGCUGGCGGGAGGCUCGGGGUUGAGAAGGUAGGUGCAAUUCUGAGUCAAGACGCUGGGCAAGAACCCAGAGGGUGCUGAGUGAGUGUGCUGGGUGAGGAAGGGGUUGGAAGCGAUGCUAAGGGAGGAGGGGAUGGCAGAUGGCAGGGACCCUCAGAAUUGCAUUAUUUACAAACUUGAUCGUGCAGCCCCAUCCCCCACUUCUGGCCCAUUGGAAGUGGGGGCUUCCACCGCCUCAUCCUCACUGCCCACCAGUGGCUCCUCUUCCCCCUUUGUGUUGGAACCUGACCCAGACUUUAGUUCCUCCAGCACCAAGGAGCCCUGGCGAGACUUCCGUCUGCUGAAGAAAGUGGUGAGCAAGGGCCGCUGGCCAGACGCCUCCGUCUCAAGGACCCUAGAGUCUUUGUUGCCCCCAGCCCCUCCCCCUGGAGUGGUUGUGGCCUCCUCAUCAGGGACCCUGGCUGGCCCAGCCCAGGCAUCCACCACUCCAUUGCGCUUUCCACCUGUGUUCAGCAUCAGGACCCCGGUUCGCCUCUUCUGUCGCCGGCGCCACAGCAGGAGCAGGGCCAGGAAGACUAUGGCCACCAGCAGGGCCACAAGCACAGGUACCUGCGACUGGAGAAGCAGAGGAUCGUCUUGUGGCAUGCGUCAUGUUCACCAGAGACUCUUUGCUCACCACCUGGACCCAGAAGCCCCCAAAGAGAAGGAGAAGCAGCGCCAUUUCCAGAGCGACAGGCAU